AAGCAGCUAGAGAUAGCUGUGUCCUUCGGGACAAGGAGACAGGUGGUGCAUGGUUGUCGUCAGCUCGUGUCGUGAGAUGUUGGGUUAAGUCCCGCAACGAGCGCAACCCCUGUGGUUAGUUGCCAGCAAGUAGCGUUGGGCACUCUAGCCAGACUGCCGGUGUCAAACCGGAGGAAGGUGGGGAGUGACGUCAAGUCCUCAUGGCCUUUAUGUCUAGGGCUACACACGUACUACAAUGGCCGGUACAAAGGGCAGCCACUCAGCGAUGAGGCGCUAAUCCCAUAAAGCCGGUCUCAGUCCGGAUCGCAGUCUGCAACUCGACUGCGUGAAGUUGGAAUCGCUAGUAAUCGUAGGUCAGCAAUACUGCGGUGAAUACGUUCCCGGGUCUU
rnacentral:rRNA from 1 species